GAGUCCUUGAGUGCCACAAUGAAUAGCAGCAAUUUAAGUAUAAAGUUUUAUCUCUCAUCUGUUAUAUUUUUUGUGUUGCAGCUUAUAAUCCUACAGACUACACUUACGUUUUCUGCUACUGCAAUUUACUGACAUAGCCAGGAAAACAAAGAAGAAAGAAAUAUUUUUCUGGUGAAGAAGGUAGAAGACAUCCACUGCAAAUGGCUUUCUCACCUCUGUCUGCUUGUCUAUAUAACUAUGAAGGCUGAACCCAGGGGAGAAAAGAGUGGGAACAUGGAUCUGGACAUGGGGUGGUGAAUGAGAUCACCUGUUUUGGCCUUACCUGAUCAUGAAACCACCUAGAAGUUCAACUAGUUUGAGUUGGUAACUGGCCUCUAGCACACCUGGGAUAUGUGGGAACAUACUCAUGGACUCCAGUGGGGAUGAGAAAGAAAACAACUGUUCUUUCAGACGGAUUACUUUGGUGUAAUACUAGACACAUAACACAAUCUACCCUAUUUUAAAAGGAUGACCUAGGGUCAAUGAAGUAUUUCACAGAGGCUAAAAUACUAAUCUUCAGCUCCCUGUCAGAGCACUCUAAGGAACCUUUUUUUUUCUAAAUUCCUCUGUCACUGGGAAACCAUUGUCCAGUUCACUGUCUGUUUUGGAAAUUACAGCCCUCACUUGCUAUGACGUUUACUAAAGUAACUGACUCGCAUAUGAUUAGUUUUGCUUUUUCACCUGCUGCAUAUGUAGCUGCUUAAAUUCAAUGUCAUUGCAAACAAAUCAGUAAUAGACU